rnacentral:rRNA from 1 species
UCCCCUAGUAACUGCGAGUGAAGCGGGAUAAGCUCAAAUUUAAAAUCUGACGGUCUUUGAUCGUCCGAGUUGUAAUUUAGAGAAGCGUCUUCCGCGUCGAGCCAUGCACAAGUCUCCUGGAAUGGAGCAUCAUAGAGGGUGAGAAUCCCGUCUUUGGCAUGGACCCUUCGAUGCUUCUGUGAUGCGCUCUCAAAGAGUCGAGUUGUUUGGGAAUGCAGCUCAAAAUGGGUGGUGAACUCCAUCUAAAGCUAAAUAUUGGCGAGAGACCGAUAGCGAACAAGUACCGUGAGGGAAAGAUGAAAAGCACUUUGGAAAGAGAGUGAAACAGGACGUGAAAUUGUUGAAAGGGAAACGCUUCAAGUCAGUCGCGUUGACCGAGACUCAGCCUCGCCUAGGCUUGGUGUACUUCUCGGUUGACGGGCCAGCAUCAAUUUCGUUCCUUGGAUAAUGGCAAGGGAAAGGUGGCACCCUUUCGGGUGUGUUAUAGUCUCCUGUCGAAUACAAGGGAUGGGAUUGAGGACCUCAGCACGCACCUCUCGGUGUCGGAGCUUCGGCUCACGCUCACGUGCUUAGGAUGUUGGCGUAAUGGCUUUAAACGACCCGUCUUGAAACACGGACCAAGGAGUCUAACAUGCCCGCGAGUGUUCGGGUGGAAAACCCGUCCGCGAAAUGAAAGUGAAAGUCGGGACCUUUGUCGUGAAGGGCACCGACGCCCGGACCAGACCUUCUGUGACGGAUCUGCGGUAGAGCGUGCAUGUUGGGACCCGAAAGAUGGUGAACUAUGCCUGAAUAGGGUGAAGCCAGAGGAAACUCUGGUGGAGGCUCGUAGCGAUUCUGACGUGCAAAUCGAUCGUCAAAUUUGGGUAUAGGGGCGAAAGACUAAUCGAC